CCUGCAGGCUGACUCCUUUGCAGACCGAGCUCUAUAAGUGCUUCCUGAGGCAAGCCAAACCCAUUGAGAAAUUACAAGAGAGCAAAAUAAGUGUCUCCUCUCUGUCUUCCAUUACAUCACUCAAGAAACUGUGCAAUCACCCAGCGCUCAUCUAUGAGAAGUGUGUGGAAGGUGAGGAGGGCUUUAAGGGAACUCUGGAUCUGUUCCCAUCCGGAUACAGCACUAAAACUGUGGAGCCUCAGCUCUCAGG